GAAAAAGAGAAACAAGAUUCAUAAGAGAAAACUCAAUUCUCUUCUCUUAUAGCCAGCUAAAUUCUUGAGAUAUAGAAACCCAAAUGGCAAACCAGCUAGAGAAUCUAGUGCAGUCAAUAAAAUCAAAGGUUCGAGCCUUGAAGAAGUCGAAGAAACCAUACAUCAAAAUGGACAAAAGUUCAAGUGUGAAGGUUGAGAUCCGUAGUAGAAAAGCCAAACAACUUAUUGACAAGACUCUCAAAGUAGCCGAUCGUCCUGGCAAGAGAAGCGUUUCUUAAUUUUUUUUUUCUUUUUUAAAUUUUCUUCUGUAUAUAAAGCUGGACUAAUAUUCAGCUUUUUCUUCCCUGUUUUCGUUUUCAAGUGCCUUCCGAUUCUGUGUUUUUCUUUCUGGGGAAAAGCUUUGAAGGGUAAAUGGAACCGUUUCGGGUUUGGCUGAACAGAAUUUGUUCUUGUUUUGUUUUGUUUUUUCUGUAGUUGUUCUGUUAAUGAAUAUUAGAGUUUUUAAGUUCUGGAUUUUAUUAUGAUUAUCUUUAAUAUUUUUUUAAUAAAAAAUUAAAGGAGUAGAGAUUCAAAGUUGAAAUAAAAUACUGAUAAACAAAUUGAAAUCUUUGUUGUUGGAA
rnacentral:misc_RNA from 1 species